ACACUGGCAGUAGCCCAAUUUGAAACACGUUGUCUUUGUAUCACUGAAAGGCUCUCUCCGAAUGUUCGGUCCAAAAGUGAGGUGCAUGGAACGUUUUGCCCAGCAGUGUAAUAUGACCCCAACAGUGACUUCUGGAGGAGCAUAAGUACGUAGUGAUCCAUCUUAGCGGAGGGGCAUUUGCAUACACAUUUGGUGCCAUGUGUAAAUUUUGCAUCAAAUUAAUCGAAAACCCAAAACAAUCAAUGCAUCAGUAACACAGUGUUCUUGCUGAUGGAGUCCUCUAUCUAUACUCUGAUAUAGGUGCUGCUUUUGAUUUAAUGCAUCAUAUAUGGACUAGUGAAAAUUGAACGCGGAAACGUGACUGUAGAG